UGGCUUAGCUAAAGCCUGAGCACCAACCAGAGAAAACCAUAUGUUUUGCAGCAAACAUCCCUACUCAUGUCGUUUCUCUAAGUUUGCCCAAAUUUGGUUAAAUUUUAGUUACAUUUUUGUGAGAUUUCAUAAUGUUGUUAAAGGUGAACAUUGGCAACUAUUUUUGAUUCAGAGUCUCUCUUUUACUCAUUUUUAAUUGAAAAUGGCCAUGUGUUUUUCCAGGGACUUAAUAAUAAUGUCUUUUAAAAAUAAAGGACUGCAUUUUGUAAUUCUUCCCAGGAACAGAUGACAAUGCAUUGCCAGGCCUUCAAUACAAAAGGUAUUAGACUCAAGAUUCUACAAGAUUCUGUUUGUGCCAGACACUGAUCAGCAGUGCAAAUAUAAAAUGAAUACAAACAGAUCACGCAUCAGAAUGCCAAUCACUUCCUAGUAACACUGAUCAAAAUUUGCAUUAAAUCAACAGAUCUUUCUUUUAAGAGGUGUGUGGCAACAGUAAAGCUUUCUACAUGUUAAACAGAAUGAACAAAACCAACGCAGAGCAGUGACUUCCUGUCAGAGCAGAAGGAGACCCUUAUAGAACAGCUGUGCCACUGCUCCAAAGGCCUCGUGUGGUUCUAUCCCUUGGACUGCCUUUCUUCAACAGCCCAGACACCUGCUCUGUCAGAUUUAUAAGCCACACCCCCUAGAGCCAUGCCAAUCAAAGCAUGGC
ensembl:lncRNA novel transcript, antisense to GZMK